AGGGUUUGAUUCUGGCUCAGGACGAACGCUGGCGGCGCGCCUAACACAUGCAAGUCGAACGGAGUUACAUUGAAAGCUUGCUGGAUAUGUAACUUAGUGGCGGACGGGUGAGUAACACGUGAGUAAUCUGCCUUCCAGAGGGGAAUAACGUUUGGAAACGAACGCUAAUACCGCAUAACGUGCGGUCCUCGCAUGGGGACUGUACCAAAGAUUUUAUCGCUGGAAGAUGAGCUCGCGGCCGAUUAGGUAGUUGGUGAGAUAACAGCCCACCAAGCCGACGAUCGGUAGCCGGACUGAGAGGUUGAUCGGCCACAUUGGGACUGAGACACGGCCCAG
rnacentral:rRNA from 1 species